rnacentral:rRNA from 2 species
UGGGGAAUAUUGGGCAAUGGAGGAAACUCUGACCCAGCGACGCCGCGUGAGGGAUGAAGGCCUUCGGGUUGUAAACCUCUUUCAGUAGGGAAGAAGCGAAAGUGACGGUACCUACAGAAGAAGCACCGGCUAACUAUGUG